rnacentral:rRNA from 1 species
CCCUUAGAUGUUCUGGGCCGCACGCGCGCUACACUGACGAAUGCAACGAGCUUAUAACCGUGGCCGAAAGGUCUGGGUAAUCUCCAAAUUUCGUCGUGAUGGGGAUAGAUUAUUGCAAUUAUUAAUCUUCAACGAGGAAUGCCUAGUAAGCGCAAGUCAUCAGCUUGCGUUGAUUACGUCCCUGCCCUUUGUACACACCGCCCGUCGCUCCUACCGAUUGAAUGGUCCGGUGAAGCGUUCGGACCGUGGCCUUUGGACGGUUCGCCGUCUGUUGGCUGCGGGAAGUUCGUUAAACCUUAUCAUUUAGAGGAAGGAGAAGUCGUANCA